rnacentral:rRNA from 1 species
CCCUUAGAUGUUCUGGGCCGCACGCGCGCUACACUGAUGCAUUCAACAAGCCUAGCCUUGACCGAGAGGUCCGGGUAAUCUUUGAAACUGCAUCGUGAUGGGGCUAGAUUAUUGCAAUUAUUAAUCUUCAACGAGGAAUGCCUAGUAAGCGUGAUUUAUCAAAUCGCGUUGAUUACGUCCCUGCCCUUUGUACACACCGCCCGUCGCUCCUACCGAUUGAAUGUGUUGGUGAGGAGCUCGGAUUGGCAGCAGUUGGUGGUUCGCCACCGGCUAUUGCUGAGAAGUCCUCCAAACCGCCCCAUUUAGAGGAAGGAGAAGUCGUAACA